rnacentral:rRNA from 1 species
CACGUAGGCGGAUAUUUAAGUCAGGGGUGAAAUCCCAGAGCUCAACUCUGGAGCUGCCUUUGAUACUGGGUAUCUUGAGUAUGGAAGAGGUAAGUGGAAUUCCGAGUGUAGAGGUGAAAUUCGUAGAUAUUCGGAGGAACACCAGUGGCGAAGGCGGCUUACUGGUCCAUUACUGACGCUGAGGUGCGAAAGCGUGGGGAGCAAACA